GACGAACGCUGGCGGCGUGCUUAACACAUGCAAGUCGAACGGUAAGACCCUUUCGGGGGUACACGAGUGGCGAACGGGUGAGUAACACGUGGGUGAUCUGCCCUGCACUUUGGGAUAAGCCUGGGAAACUGGGUCUAAUACCGGAUAGGACUACGCGAUGCAUGUCGUGUGGUGGAAAGCUUUUGCGGUGUGGGAUGGGCCCGCGGCCUAUCAGCUUGUUGGUGGGGUGAUGGCCUACCAAGGCGACGACGGGUAGCCGGCCUGAGAGGGUGUCCGGCCACACUGGGACUGAGAUACGGCCCAGACUCCUACGGGAGGCAGCAGUGGGGAAUAUUGCACAAUGGGCGCAAGCCUGAUGCAGCGACGCCGCGUGGGGGAUGACGGCCUUCGGGUUGUAAACCCCUUUCAGCACAGACGAAGCGUAAGUGACGGUAUGUGCAGAAGAAGCACCGGCCAACUACGUG
rnacentral:rRNA from 1 species